rnacentral:rRNA from 1 species
CACGUAGGGCGCAAGCGUUGUCCGGAAUUACUGGGCGUAAAGGGCUCGUAGGCGGCCAACUAAGUCAUACGUGAAAUCCCCCGGCUUAACCGGGGAACUGCGUCUGAUACUGGAUGGCUUGAGUUCGGGAGAGGGAUGCGGAAUUCCAGGUGUAGCGGUGAAAUGCGUAGAUAUCUGGAGGAACACCGGUGGCGAAGGCGGCAUCCUGGACCGAUACUGACGCUGAGGAGCGAAAGCCAGGGGAGCAAACGGG